rnacentral:rRNA from 1 species
AGCCGAUGAAGGACGUUACUAACGACGAUAUGCUUUGGGUAGCUGUAAGUAAGCGUUGAUCCAGAGAUUUCCGAAUGGGGGAACCCAGCAUGAGUUAUGUCAUGUUAUCGACAUGUGAAUUCAUAGCAUGUCAGAAGGCAGACCCGGAGAACUGAAACAUCUUAGUACCCGGAGGAAGAGAAAGAAAAAUCGAUUCCCUGAGUAGCGGCGAGCGAAACGGGAAGAGCCCAAACCAACA